UCCCUUAAGAACAGCCACCCAGGCUAGGAUUAGCAUGAAGGGCUGCUAGGCUGGCACUUCAGUGUCUGGGUUAAAAAUAUUUUAAAGCAGUAAAUGCAGUCAGAACAGAGAGAGAGAUCCCUGGGAGCCUUCCUGUUCAAAAAUGUGCGAGCUCAGGGCAGCAACUGCAAUGUAAUUUAGGACAGUAUAUGCUUCAUAGCUUUAGAGAAUAUUGCCUCUUGUUAAUGUUACAUUGGAGGACAGUGGGAUAGUGGUAAUUUUAGAGAGGCGGUGUUCCUGUUUGUUUUACAUCGAAAACUUCCGAAUAAAUAAAAAGAAGCAUGAAUUGAGGAAGAAAUGUAACUGCUGAAACCCAGCAAUGACUCCACUCUGAGCAGACUGUAGAAACAACAGGGGAAGGUGGGCAUACAAACGUUGUCGUGGGAAUGCGGCUUGGAAGGGAACUUAGCAGACAAAGGCGAAAUCAGGUAUGUACUUCAAAUGGCAUGUGGGCAAACUUUUGUCUGUGAGCCCAGUGAGGAGCCUGCUCACAUGAAAUUACAAAAUGUUUGGGGGGAUCGAAUGACAAAAAAGCUUGUAUUGCUUUUCCAUUGCUGAAGAAAUGGGGCUGUCUAUAAGCAGAAGUGAUUCAAAUAGCUCUUUUCAAAGAAGUGCUCUGGAGAGCGAGGGAGAUUUUUCAUUUCCAUUCCUUUACCAAGAUUAUUUCCUUCUUUUCCUCUUCACGUCUCACAGAGUUCCCUUUAAAUCUGCAAGUGAAAAGGAUGGUCUGAGCUACCUAGGGAGGCUCGAAUCUGAAUUCUGUUUGUGUCAGGCUCUGUGAGCUUGGUGAUCUCUGUUUAUCUCUUAGGAAAUAGUUGUGCUUGCACAACACUGCAAAUGCAAUGUGCAGAUGUCAGGACAGCUAAAACAAAGAAGGCCGUCUAGGAAAAGCAACGCCAGACCUGAUGGCAGAGUGGAGAAGCAGCGGAGAGGACUUGUGCCUUCUUUUCUUCCUUGUGCCUCUGCGUGGCCGUAGGACAAGUAGAGGCUGAAUUGCGUCUGUCCCAGAGGAACCAUGAAUUAAGUCUCUGCAAUCAGUGACAGUUCUGACUUCGGAAACGGGCACGAGCUGGUUUUUCCAAGCGAUCGAGUUACCACAGUUUAAGAGAUUUUCAAAAGCAAUUGCAACAGCCUGAGAGCAUCCACACAGGAAGUUACAGCUCAGCUGGCGCAUGGCAAACCGUGAAGCUGCGGUAAGUCUGUCUUACCAUCAUGUCUGCGAAUGCUUUGUAGACACGUUUAUCCUGAGUGCAUUAACAUUCAUUUUCUGUAACGUUGGGUUUUGGCAUAGCGCAACUGAGUGACGAAGGCAAAGAUAGUCUAAAAGACUAUUCCCAAGAACUAAGUAACAAUAAAUCAGAGCUUGGAUGCUUUUAUAUUCUCUUUUUUUUUUUUUUUUUUUGCCAAAUACUACUUAGACUAUAAUAACACCUAAGUACGAAGUUCAGCUGUUACAUAGUGCUUUUUACUCACAGAUUUCAGAGUACUUUAUCAAAGAGGUAACUUACGAUUAUUGCUAUUUUUUGGGUGGAGACGUGACAUCAGAAGAUGUUGAGAUCACUCACCCAAACAAAGAUCAAGCUGGAAUAAUGUAUGUGUAUGCUUUUAUUCUGGGUCCAGUAUGUUGCCCCCUGAAUCUUAGUAUCGUUUUUAUAAACGUGAAAUUUUGAAGAGUUCUUAGUAGAGGGUUGAGGAUUUGCUGGUUGUUCGGAGGAUCAGAGCUGAACUUAAGGGUCUCCAAGAGUCACAGUCCAAGUGUAGAUUCACAGGAGGGAUAGGCCCGUCGCCUUGUCCGAUCUCCCAUAUUCCCUCUCCUUCAUCAGGAAACAUGCCUGUGGGAGCAUAUGCCACUUUUCACCUUUUUUCUUGGCUCUGCUUUUGGCCUGAGAAAAAACGGUGGAGGUAGAAACUCUACUUAUGCCCAUUCCCAGUUCCUGACCUGGUCUGGAUUACUUAGAAAUUUCUGCACAAAAUUCUAUCUCGCUCUUUGUGGAAACCAAGCAAGGCCCUAAGAGAAACUUACAUUAUAUAAGGAAAUAUCUUCUGUGCUUUUGAGUGUCUUGUUUUUAUAUUUGGGACAAGGUUUGGAAUGAUUUUUAUUUUCUGCAUAGAAUCAGUUAUUCUUCCACAUGUUGUGGAAGACACCUAUUUAAAGACUGGGAGAAAUUACCCCACUGGCUUCAUGAAGCAGCCCUUCUUAUAAAAGGGGUGGAAUUAUUUCUGGAGAGCUGUCAUAAAGAAAUCACAGCUUUAAUGCAUGAUUUAUGUAACUCAGAGAAGGCGCCGUAAGUAGUCAGGUGCAAGGUGAGGUCAGUGGUAGGAGAAAGAGUUUACAAAGCCUGUUCUAUGCUCUUCAAUGCCUGUGCAUUUACAGUAGCUUUUGUUUCCCGGUGCCUUUGUUUUUUAGAGUAUGAUCAUUUCCAUACACGCUACUGAAAAAAAAAAUACAAAAGGUUUCAAUAUACAGUAGUUAAUUACUAUAUUACAAGCUCUAAUUAAAUUCUUGGAGAUUCUGCACAGUAUGAUGUUCAUGCCAAGAGGGACAUAUCCUGUCCUUAAGUGAAUACAUGUUCUUGUCAAGUUAACUUAUCUGCAUUUUACUCACAUGAAAUAUUCCUCAUCUCUUGCUUCUUGACACACGUGACUGAUAAAUGUUUUAAAGGCACAUUUAACAUUGAUAUUUUUGUCAUAGGAAAUGACAAUGACUUCAGUAAUUCCCAGGCUUUAUUUUAUACAAAGUGACACACCAUGUGAUGGCAGACUCCCCAGACCUUAAUGUAAGCCACACGCUGUGUUUUCCAGCUAUGCACAUCUCUCCUUUAUCAUUGGACUUGUGAUGGCUCAGUGAUUAUACAGUACUUCAAAAAUCGGAACUUGGCCAAAUUACUUCUCCUUCAUGCCAUUUAGACAGAAGGCUUUCAUAAAAAUUAAACAGUAAGUAACUCAUGUGAAAUUGCACCUUGCACUUACUGCUUUUAGUGGCGCUGGGGUGAGCGAUACUCUGAAAGUCAGUAUUCGGAAUGUGUCUGAAUGAAUGGCUGCCACCAACUUCUCUCGUAGUGUCCCUGCAUGCCUGAGGUAGGUUGGAAGAAGGAUUCCUUCCACAAGCAGAGUUUUGCAUGCUCUCCUCUUCUGCCUGGCCUCCCCCAGUGGCUGAGAAGUGCACUGGCUGCCAAGCCCCGGGCUUGCAGCACUGAAUGACGUUGUACAGGCUCCAAUCAAGUACCCAGGGGUAGCAGCAUUCUGUUGCUUUCAACCUCUCUUGGAUUUGAAGCGGGGAUACUGAAGACUUGCCAGAGCCAGUCCUAUCUCCUUCCCCCACUUCCUUUCUGCUGUUGUUCUGGUAACUGACCACUUAUCGCAUUUAUGAUCUUUGUAAUUGAAACUGAGAAAGCCUGUGGCAGGUAAGCCCUGCAUCUGCGUGUGCCUGCUCUGAUUUCUUCCCUCAGCCCUAAAACCACAGCCCUUCCCCCUUUCCCAGUAACAGCAAACCCUAAGCCCAAAUAACUCGCAGAAGCCUGAUGCUAGUGUAUAUUUGAUUUUGUUUGCAAGCUUAUCUUGUGACCGGCUCUCAGCGUGGGAAGAAGCAGGGAGUGGGGGAGAUGGAGAGAGAGUUGUUGCAACAUAUUUUAACAUAUGUGCUUUAGGCCUCUUGGUGGACUCCCUCUUGGGAAGAGGGGAGGGAGCGUGCCCCUAAGCAGUUGGUUGGCUUUGCUUGUUUCUAUAGCAGCCCGAAUGAGAAAAAUCAUGUUUUAACACUAAUAUAUUCAACCAAAAAAUAAUAAAAAAAAAAAACCCAAACCUUAACAAUUACAGGAAGAGUCUUUUUUAUUAUUAUUAAAGAAAUUGCAUUAAAGAUGAAUGAGCAUAUAUUGGAAUAAUUAUGUUUUAAGGUGUGUAACAUUAAAAAGUACUGAAUGGAAUAUCGACUGUUUUGUAGGAACAGUAAUAAUGAGAUUUCUGUCACCUAAUCUUACAAUAAUUGGGUUAUUACUAUGCAAAUGAAGGUAUUACUUAAAAAAAAAAAAAGAAGAGGUAAGACAGAUCCUCGAGGCAGCCAUUUAUCUAUCCUUAAAGCUAUGCUGUCGAUUCUCUUCAACAUGAAGAUUUUUUUUUUUUUUAACAGUUUGAAGAUGCUAAUUUCAUUAUUUUUUCACCCAUGUUUCCUACGAGAAUGUUUUUUGUUCUCCCCAGGUAGCAGAUGGGGUGUAGUGGGUUUUGUAUAUUUUCCAGUCUCUUAUGGAUUCCUUUAGGAAUAAUUUGAUCAAA
ensembl:lncRNA